AAAAGUUAGUAAAAUAUCUUUAUUUUAAAAAUCAUAAUUUUAUUUCUUUACCCAAAACUCUACUUU
rnacentral:tRNA from 1 species